rnacentral:rRNA from 1 species
CAGUCGCCACGGUAAUACAGAGGCCUCAAGCGUUGUUCGGAUUCAUUGGGCGUAAAGGGUGCGUAGGUGGCUUGGUAAGUUGAAGGUGAAAUCUCGGGGCUUAACCCCGAAACUGCCUUCAAUACUGCUAGGCUCGAGGACUGUAGAGGAGAAUGGAAUUCACGGUGUAGCAGUGAAAUGCGUAGAUAUCGUGAGGAAGACCAGUGGCGAAGGCGAUUCUCUGGGCAGUUCCUGACACUGGGGCACGAAGGCCAGGGGAGCAAACGGGAUUAGAUACCCGCGUAGUCCCUGUCUCUUAUAC